rnacentral:rRNA from 1 species
CCUACGGGAGGCAGCAGUGGGGAAUAUUGGACAAUGGGGGGAACCCUGAUCCAGCGACGCCGCGUGAGUGAGGAAGUAUUUCGGUAUGUAAAGCCCUAUCAGCAGGGAAGAAAAUGACGGUACCUGACUAAGAAGCCCCGGCUAACUACGUGCCAGCGGCCGUGGUAAUACGUAGGGGGCAAGCGUUAUCCGGAGUUACUGGGUGUAAAGGGGGCGUAGAGGGUGCAGCCAGUCUGAGGUGAAAGGGCGGGGCCCAACCCCGGGACUGCAGUGGAAACUGUUAGACUGGAGUACAGGAGAGGUAAGCGGAAGUCGUGGUGUAGCGGUGAAAUGCGUAGAUAUUAGGAGGAACACCAGUGGCGAAGGCGGCUUACUGGACCGUAACUGACGUUGAGGCUCGAAAGCGUGGGGAGCAAACAGGAUUAGAUACCCCAGUAGUC